GGCCAAGUUUUUAAGGGCGCACGGUGGAUGCCUUGGUACCAGGAACCGAUGAAGGACGUGGGAGGCCACGAUAGUCCCCGGGGAGCCGUCAACCAGGCUUUGAUCCGGGGGUUUCCGAAUGGGGAAACCCGGCAGUCGUCAUGGGCUGUCACCCACAUCUGAACACAUAGGGUGUGUGGAGGGAACGCGGGGAAGUGAAACAUCUCAGUACCCGCAGGAAGAGAAAACAACCGUGAUUCCGGGAGUAGUGGCGAGCGAAACCGGAUGAGGCCAAACCGUAUACGUGUGAGACCCGGCAGGGGUUGCGUGUACGGGGUUGUGGGAUCUCUCUUUCACAGUCUGCCGGCUGUGAGACGAGUCAGAAACCGUUGGUGUAGGCGAAGGACAUGCGAAAGGUCCGGCGUAGAGGGUAAGACCCCCGUAGUCGAAACAUCAACGGCUCGUUUGAGAGACACCCAAGUAGCACGGGGCCCGAGAAAUCCCGUGUGAAUCUGGCGGGACCACCCGCUAAGCCUAAAUAUUCCCUGGUGACCGAUAGCGGAUAGUACCGUGAGGGAAUGGUGAAAAGUACCGCGGGAGCGGAGUGAAAUAGUACCUGAAACCGUGUGCCUACAAGCCGUGGGAGCGUCGCUGUAUGUGCUUGCACAUACAGUCGUGACUGCGUGCCUUUUGAAGAAUGAGCCUGCGAGUUUGCGGUGUGUUGCGAGGUUAACCCGUGUGGGGAAGCCGUAGCGAAAGCGAGUCCGAACAGGGCGAUUCAGUAGCGCGCUCAAGACCCGAAGCGGAGUGAUCUAGCCAUGGGCAGGUUGAAGCGGCUGUAAGAGGUCGUGGAGGACCGAACCCACCAGGGUUGAAAACCUGGGGGAUGACCUGUGGUUAGGGGUGAAAGGCCAAUCAAACUCCGUGAUAGCUGGUUCUCCCCGAAAUGCAUUUAGGUGCAGCGUCGUGUGUUUCUUGCCGGAGGUAGAGCACUGGAUAGGCGAUGGGCCCUACCGGGUUACUGACCUUAGCCAAACUCCGAAUGCCGGUAAGUGAGAGCACGGCAGUGAGACUGUGGGGGAUAAGCUCCAUGGUCGAGAGGGAAACAGCCCAGAGCAUCGACUAAGGCCCCUAAGCGUACGCUAAGUGGGAAAGGAUGUGGAGUCGCAGAGACAACCAGGAGGUUGGCUUAGAAGCAGCCACCCUUGAAAGAGUGCGUAAUAGCUCACUGGUCUAGUGAUUCCGCGCCGACAAUGUAGCGGGGCUCAAGCGUACCGCCGAAGUCGUGUCAUUUCAGCAUAUAGGGCCAACGCCCGCUGGGAUGGGUAGGGGAGCGUCGUGUGCCGGGUGAAGCCGCAGCGGAAGCUAGUGGUGGACGGUUCACGAGUGAGAAUGCAGGCAUGAGUAGCGAUACACACGUGAGAAACGUGUGCGCCGAUUGACUAAGGGUUCCUGGGUCAAGCUGAUCUGCCCAGGGUAAGUCGGGACCUAAGGCGAGGCCGACAGGCGUAGUCGAUGGAUAACCGGUUGAUAUUCCGGUACCCGCUGUGAAGCGUCAAACAGUGAACCAGGCGAUGCUAAGUCCGUGAAGCCGCCCUGGAGCCUUCGGGCAAAGGGGAGUGGUGGAGCCGACGGACCAGACCUGUAGUAGGUGAGUGAUGGGGUGACGCAGGAAGGUAGUCCAGCCCGGGCGGUGGUUGUCCCGGGGUAAGGGUGUAGGCCGUGUGACAGGUAAAUCCGUCGCACAUUAAGGCUGAGACCUGAUGCCGAGCCGAUUGUGGUGAAGUGGAUGAUCCUAUGCUGUCGAGAAAAGCCUCUAGCGAGUUUCAUGGCGGCCCGUACCCUAAACCGACUCAGGUGGUCAGGUAGAGAAUACCGAGGCGUUCGGGUGAACUAUGGUUAAGGAACUCGGCAAAAUGCCCCCGUAACUUCGGGAGAAGGGGGGCCAUCACUGGUGAUCCGUUUUACACGGUGAGCUGGGGGUGGCCGCAGAGACCAGCGAGAAGCGACUGUUUACUAAAAACACAGGUCCGUGCGAAGCCGUAAGGCGAUGUAUACGGACUGACGCCUGCCCGGUGCUGGAACGUUAAGGGGACCGGUUAGUGCACUUUCGGGUGUGCGAAGCUGAGAACUUAAGCGCCAGUAAACGGCGGUGGUAACUAUAACCAUCCUAAGGUAGCGAAAUUCCUUGUCGGGUAAGUUCCGACCUGCACGAAUGGCGUAACGACUUCUCGACUGUCUCAACCAUAGGCCCGGUGAAAUUGCACUACGAGUAAAGAUGCUCGUUUCGCGCAGCAGGACGGAAAGACCCCGGGACCUUUACUACAGUUUGAUAUUGGUGUUCGGUUCGGCUUGUGUAGGAUAGCUGGGAGACUGUGAAGUCAUGGCGCCAGCCAUGGUGGAGUCGUCGUUGAAAUACCAGUCUGGUCGUGCUGGAUGUCUAACCUGGGUCCGUGAUCCGGAUCAGGGACAGUGUCUGAUGGGUAGUUUAACUGGGGCGGUUGCCUCCUAAAGAGUAACGGAGGCGCCCAAAGGUUCCCUCAGCCUGGUUGGCAAUCAGGUGUUGAGUGUAAGUGCACAAGGGAGCUUGACUGUGAGACCGACGGGUCGAGCAGGGACGAAAGUCGGGACUAGUGAUCCGGCGGUGGCUUGUGGAAGCGCCGUCGCUCAACGGAUAAAAGGUACCCCGGGGAUAACAGGCUGAUCUUCCCCAAGAGUCCAUAUCGACGGGAUGGUUUGGCACCUCGAUGUCGGCUCGUCGCAUCCUGGGGCUGGAGUCGGUCCCAAGGGUUGGGCUGUUCGCCCAUUAAAGCGGUACGCGAGCUGGGUUUAGAACGUCGUGAGACAGUUCGGUCCCUAUCCGCUGUGCGCGUAGGAAUAUUGAGAAGGGCUGUCCCUAGUACGAGAGGACCGGGACGGACGAACCUCUGGUGUGCCAGUUGUCCUGCCAAGGGCAUGGCUGGUUGGCUACGUUCGGGAGGGAUAACCGCUGAAAGCAUCUAAGCGGGAAGCCUGCUUCGAGAUGAGUAUUCCCACCAACUAGAUUGGUUAAGGCUCCCAGUAGACGACUGGGUUGAUAGGCCGGAUGUGGAAGCCUCGUAAGGGGUGAAGCUGACCGGUACUAAUAGGCCGAGGGCUUGUCCUC
rnacentral:rRNA from 1 species